rnacentral:sRNA from 1 species
GCUGGGGGUGGUGGCGUACACCUGUAAUCCCAGCAACUUGGGAAGCCAAGGCAGGAGGUCAUGAGUUCAAAGACAGCCUCAGCAAAAGCAAGGCGUGAAGCAACUCAGUGAGACCCUGUUUGUA